AUCCGAAGCUUAGGACCAUAUAAAUCUAUCUAUAGUAGAAUGAGGGAGGAGAUUAUUGCCCCUAAAUUAUAAAUUAUGCAUUGAAUUUCAUUCCAGUCCACACAUUUCGUAUUGUACAGUCCCCAUCUAAAAAAAAUAAAAUGAAUACGUGGCUCAUACAGCAAAAGUCACCAUAUGCAGUGCCAGACUUGUUGGGAGACAGUACCGGACGAUGUAGUUGAAGUAUCCCUUUCAUUUAAAUAAAUAAUAAAUAAAGGACGUGAAAAUGGAUACAGCAGACCCUGCCAUUGCCCUUAUUCGUCAUGAAAUUGUCAAAAAUCAUCUGGAAGUGGCUGCCUCAAUACAAGACAUUCAACAAUGUACAGGACCCCUAGAGCUUCUGAACGAAUUGAACGCAGAAGGCAGAUCACGAAUAGCAAAAUUACGAUGUAGCAUUGACAGUUUAUCAACACUAGCAGAGACUGAAAUAAAUGCUAAACGGAAGGCCGAAUUAUUAUUAGAAGUUGAUAACAGAAAAAGUCAAUUAUCGAUGGCACUGGCAGCAUUCAAGAAGGCCACGAUCGUUGGUGCCUGCGUCAUUGAUAAAAUGGCCAAGGAGGAGUUGUUAUCAACGUCAGAGGAGCAAGAGAUGCUGCUGAGAAAGAGACGAGAUCGACAGGGCUUCGCUGAUACUGCUAACAAGGCUACCGAUAGACUUUUAAGUAUUUCGCGAACACUUGCAGAGACCAAUCAGCGGAGUGCAGAUACCCUUGACACUCUCCUAACAUCGUCAGAUAAAGUUACCGGUACGAGAGAAGAAUUGGAACACCAACAGCAAGCAAUAGUUCAGUCAGGAAAGCUCUUGGGGAAGUAUGGGAGACGAGAAGUGACAGACAAAGCUCUCCUGGCACUGGCAUUCGCCUUCUUCCUCGCGUGCGUUUUUUAUAUCAUUCAGAAGAGGAUCUGGUAGAGCUAUGAAAUUUUAUUCCGGCUUCAGCAUCAUUUUCCUCUUCUUUAUUCGGCGCUGGCCUUCUGUCCCGCCGACGUGACAGCGACGCUAUAAAAGACACAGAGAUAUGAUGCAUCUCGGUAUUCAGAGUCAGAAUUGCCAGGACGACUGAUCCAAACGUUUUUUUUUUUUCGAAAAUAAAGAUCGUGAAAGUUUGUGGAGAUAUUGGUGCCAAAUGAGAGUUUAACAUUUCGUCAGCAGAAUUAAGAAUGUCCUGAUGGGGAUUCCCUGAGAGCCAGAUCACUGGAUCGCCAACGAAAAUAUUUAUCACAUCAACUGAUUGAUUAAUCACCGUGAGAGUGAGGACUGCUGGAGCUAAUCUACUCAACUCAAUCAAUAAAAAAAAUUCUGAAAAAAUGAAGAUCAUUAUUUUGUUCCUGUUGUUCACCUGUGUCUGGAGUGCUCCAUGGCUGGAGGGGAUAUUCAAUCCAUAUCCAGUGCAACGCAGGGUCGAGCCAAGACGACAUCGUCAAGGAAAGAAUGGGAAGGAACGGUGGAAAGAGAUUUGCAAAACGAUAAAUCCCAAUGGAUAUGCAUUUCCAGGACAAGUGCCAUAUCCAGCGUCACCACCUUGUACUUAUUAACUCUAUCUGGACGAAUGUCUUCAUCACAUCUCGCAAUAACGAGGAUUUCAGCUCACAAUUGUGAAGAAAAAACACUCAUAUUUGUUCAAAAACGAGUUCCGAAUAUGGAAAAUUUAGUGUGUACAUAUAGCAAGAUUUUGUUUACGUUAUUUUUAUUUGUUAUGACGUUCGGGUUAUCAGAAUGGAAACCCCCUGAGGGGGUUCCCUAAGAUCCAAAUGACUGGAUCGACAAAAAUUGUUUUUAUUCAAAUAUGUAAUUAAUUAAUCAUUAUAAAUCGCCGGAUGAUUAUCUAGACUGAUUUGUAGGUAUCAAAAAUACAAAUUUCUUACGGAAACAUAAGAUAA